rnacentral:rRNA from 1 species
GACGAACGCUGGCGGCGUGCUUAACACAUGCAAGUCGAGCGGAGCGGCGAACGGGUGAGUAACGCGUGAGUAACUGCCCCCCCCUCUGGGAUAACAGUUGGAAACGGCUGCUAAUACCGGAUAGUGGGGGUUGACUCGCGUUCUAUCAGCUUGUUGGUGGGGUAGUGGCCUAGCAAUGGGACGCCGGGUAGCCGGCCCGAGAGGGCGACCGGCCACAUUGUGCUGAGAUACGGCCCAAACUCCUACGGUGGGCAGCAGUGGGGAAUGUUGCACAAUGGGGGCAGCCCUGAUGCAGCAACGCGCGUGCGGGAUGACGGCCUUCGGGUUGUAAACCGCUUUCAGCCAUGACGCGGUAGUGGCAGAAGAAGCACCGGCUAACUACGUGCCAGCAGCCGCGGUAAUUC